AGUGAACGCUGGCGGUAGGCCUAACACAUGCAAGUCGAACGGCAGCACAGUAAGAGCUUGCUCUUACGGGUGGCGAGUGGCGGACGGGUGAGGAAUACAUCGGAAUCUACUUUUUCGUGGGGGAUAACGUAGGGAAACUUACGCUAAUACCGCAUACGACCUACGGGUGAAAGCAGGGGAUCUUCGGACCUUGCGCGAUUGAAUGAGCCGAUGUCGGAUUAGCUAGUUGGCGGGGUAAAGGCCCACCAAGGCGACGAUCCGUAGCUGGUCUGAGAGGAUGAUCAGCCACACUGGAACUGAGACACGGUCCAGACUCCUACGGGAGGCAGCAGUGGGGAGUAUUGGACAAUAGGCGCAAGCCUGAUCCAGCCAUACCGCGUGGGUGAAGAAGGCCUUCGGGUUGUAAAGCCCUUUUGUUGGGAAAGAAAAGCAGCAGGUUAAUACCCCGCUGUUCUGACGGUACCCAAAGAAUAAGCACCGGCUAACUUCGUG
rnacentral:rRNA from 1 species